rnacentral:rRNA from 1 species
CCUACGGGGGGCAGCAGUGGGGAAUAUUGGGCAAUGGGCGCAAGCCUGACCCAGCAACGCCGCGUGAAGGAAGAAGGCUUUCGGGUUGUAAACUUCUUUUCAGAGGGAAGAGCAGAAGACGGUACCUCUUGAAUAAGCCACGGCUAACUACGUGCCAGCAGCCGCGGUAAUACGUAGGUGGCACGCGUUGUCCGGAUUUACUGGGUGUAAAGGGCGUGUAGCCGGGCUGACAAGUCAGAUGUGAAAUUCCGGGGCUCAACCCCGGACCUGCACUUGAAACUGUUGGUCUUGAGUAUCGGAGAGGCAGGCGGAAUUCCUAGUGUAGCGGUGAAAUGCUUAGAUAUCACGAGGAACUCCGGUGGCGAAGGCAGCUUACUAAACUGCCACUGACAUUGAUGCUCGAAAGUGUGGGGAUCAAACAGGAUUAGAUACCCGAGUAGUC